GUGGGGAAUCUUGCGCAAUGGGCGAAAGCCUGACGCAGCCAUGCCGCGUGAAUGAUGAAGGUCUUAGGAUUGUAAAAUUCUUUCACCGGGGACGAUAAUGACGGUACCCGGAGAAGAAGCCCCGGCUAACUUCGUGCCAGCAGCCGCGGUAAUACGAAGGGGGCUAGCGUUGCUCGGAAUUACUGGGCGUAAAGGGCGCGUAGGCGGACAGUUUAGUCAGAGGUGAAAGCCCAGGGCUCAACCUUGGAAUUGCCUUUGAUACUGGCUGUCUUGAGUUUGGGAGAGGUGAGUGGAACUCCGAGUGUAGAGGUGAAAUUCGUAGAUAUUCGGAAGAACACCAGUGGCGAAGGCGACUCACUGGCCCAAUACUGACGCUGAGGCGCGAAAGCGUGGGGAGCAAACAGGAUUAGAUACCCGUGUAGUCC
rnacentral:rRNA from 1 species